GAUGAACGCUGGCGGCGUGCCUAAUACAUGCAAGUCGAGCGAACAGACGAGGAGCUUGCUCCUCUGACGUUAGCGGCGGACGGGUGAGUAACACGUGGAUAACCUACCUAUAAGUCUGGGAUAACUUCGGGAAACCGGAGCUAAUACCGGAUCAUAUAUUGAACCGCAUGGUUCAAUAGUGAAAGACGGCUUUGCUGUCACUUAUAGAUGGAUCCGCGCCGCAUUAGCUAGUUGGUAAGGUAACGGCUUACCAAGGCAACGAUGCGUAGCCGACCUGAGAGGGUGAUCGGCCACACUGGAACUGAGACACGGUCCAGACUCCUACGGGAGGCAGCAGUAGGGAAUCUUCCGCAAUGGGCGAAAGCCUGACGGAGCAACGCCGCGUGAGUGAUGAAGGUCUUCGGAUCGUAAAACUCUGUUAUUAGGGAAGAACAAAUGUGUAAGUAACUAUGCACGUCUUGACGGUACCUAAUCAGAAAGCCACGGCUAACUACGUG
rnacentral:rRNA from 1 species